GCCAGACUCCUACGGGAGGCAGCAGUGGGGAAUAUUGCACAAUGGGCGAAAGCCUGAUGCAGCAACGCCGCGUGAAGGAAGAAGGCUUUCGGGUUGUAAACUUCUUUUCUCAGGGACGAAGAAAGUGACGGUACCUGAGGAAUAGGCCACGGCUAACUACGUGCCAGCAGCCGCGGUAAUACGUAGGUGGCAAGCGUUAUCCGGAUUUACUGGGUGUAAAGGGGGCGCAGACGGCGAUGCAAGCCAGGAGUGAAAGCCCGGGGCCCAACCCCGGGACUGCUCUUGGAACUGCGUGGCUGGAGUGCAGGAGGGGCAGGCGGAAUUCCUGGUGUAGCGGUGAAAUGCGUAGAUAUCAGGAGGAACACCGGUGGCGAAGGCGGCCUGCUGGACUGCAACUGACGUUGAGGCCCGAAAGCGUGGGGAGCAAACAGGAUUAGAUACCCCGGUACA
rnacentral:rRNA from 1 species